UGGGGAAUAUUGGGCAAUGGAUGCAAGUCUGACCCAGCCAUGCCGCGUGCCGGAUGAAGGCCCUCAGGGUUGUAAACGGCUUUUAUUCGGGAAGAAGAGCAGGGAUGCGUCCUUGUGUGACGGUACCGAAUGAAUAAGCACCGGCUAACUCCGUGCCAGCAGCCGCGGUAAUACGGAGGGUGCGAGCGUUGUCCGGAUUUAUUGGGUUUAAAGGGUGCGUAGGUGGCUUUAUAAGUCAGUGGUGAAAUACAGCCGCUCAACGGUUGAGGUGCCAUUGAUACUGCAAAGCUUGAAAUAAUUGGAGGCUGCCGGAAUGGAUGGUGUAGCGGUGAAAUGCAUAGAUAUCAUCCAGAACACCGAUUGCGAAGGCAGGUGGCUACGAUUUGUUUGACACUGAGGCACGAAAGCAUGGGGAGCAAACA
rnacentral:rRNA from 1 species